GGCUUUAUGGUGUAGCUAACACAUUAAAUUGCAGAUUUAAGGAAGAUAACUAAAGUCA
rnacentral:tRNA from 1 species